rnacentral:rRNA from 1 species
UACGUAGGGCGCAAGCGUUGUCCGGAAUUAUUGGGCGUAAAGAGCUCGUAGGCGGCUUGUCACGUCGGGUGUGAAAGCCCGGGGCUUAACCCCGGGUCUGCAUUCGAUACGGGCUAGCUAGAGUGUGGUAGGGGAGAUCGGAAUUCCUGGUGUAGCGGUGAAAUGCGCAGAUAUCAGGAGGAACACCGGUGGCGAAGGCGGAUCUCUGGGCCAUUGCUGACGCUGAGGAGCGAAAGCGUGGGGAGCGAACAGG